UGGAGGCGCUGCGCCGAGGCGAGGAGGAGCACGGCCAGGAGCGCGGCCAGCGCCCGGCCCGCCGCCAUCUCCCGUCCCGGUGCCGCCCCGUCCCCGCACGGGCCGGGCGCGGGUCCCCGCCGCCGCCGCCGCCGCCGCUUCCUGCUCCACCUCGCACCUGGCGGGGCGGGGCGCGGCAGAAGUCAAAAGUCUUAUACAGGUAUAAACUAAUGCUGGAUCUGCCAAAGGCACACUUCCUGCACGGAGGAACAGUGCUUCUUUAAUGAAAGUCCCUGCUGAAUAUCUGAAGAUAUAACUGUACAGCAAGGAAAUCAUCAUCAUCGUCAUCAUCAUCAUCCAAGGAAGCAGCAGCAGGACAUCAAGCUUGAGGAUGUAGUUUCACAGCCAGCUCACUAAUCCGUCUGAAGACUGACCCUUCAAAAACAGAAGAAAAAAAUCAGUUUUCAGGUGUCCCGGUUUGCUGAGCCAACAAGCUUAUGGCAACAAGCUCUAGAGGUGACGUGAGAAAGGGAACAAGGGAGGAGACUGGGCAGUGCCGUCGUAAGUCAAGAUCCCAAAGCAAAUAGCAAAGAAAGUCCCAGGAGGAGAUCUGCAGCUCUAUCUUCAGAAUAGUGCCUAGCAAGGAAGGCAUGCAGCUUUGCCUGUGCCGGUGGGGAGAAAG